rnacentral:rRNA from 1 species
AAAGCGUGCGCAGGCGGUUUUGUAAGUCUGAUGUGAAAUCCCCGGGCUCAACCUGGGAAUUGCAUUGGAGACUGCAAGGCUAGAAUCUGGCAGAGGGGGGUAGAAUUCCACGUGUAGCAGUGAAAUGCGUAGAUAUGUGGAGGAACACCGAUGGCGAAGGCAGCCCCCUGGGUCAAAACUGACGCUCAUGCACGAAAGCGUGGGGAGCAAACAGGAUUAGAUACCCUUGU